UGGGGCAACCCUAUGUACUACCUGUUGAAUAUAUAGACAGGAAAGAGCCAACCCAGCGAACUGAAACAUCUUAGUAGCUGGAGGAAGAGAAAUCAAACUAGAGAUUCCCUCAGUAGUGGUGAGCGAAAGGGGAAGAGCCUAAACCAAGGGAUUUAUCCUUUGGGGUCGUGGGACAGCGAUAUCGAAUCUAGAGACUAAACGAAACAGCUAAAUACUGUACCAGAGGGGGUGAAAGUCCCGUAGUUGAAAGUCAAAGGAUAGUAGCUGAAUCCCGAGUAGCAUGGAGCACGAGGAAUUCCAUGUGAAUCAGCGAGGACCACCUCGUAAGGCUAAAUACUACUGUGUGACCGAUAGUGAACAAGUACCGCGAGGGAAAGGUGAAAAGAACCCCGGAAGGGGAGUGAAAUAGAACAUGAAACCAUAAGCUUACAAGCAGUGGGAGUCCGAUUUAACGGAUGACCGCGUGCCUGUUGAAGAAUGAGCCGGCGACUUAUAGGCACUGGUAGGUUAAAGCGAGAAUGCUGGAGCCAAAGGGAAACCGAGUCUGAAGA
rnacentral:rRNA from 1 species